GUCAGAAAAGCGGUGGGGUAGAGGACUUUAAAAAACGGAGGUUGGAAUAUGAGAAGCCUUGGGAGCAAGAGAAGAUGGGGAGGGAGAAAGAGAAGGCAAGAAGAGUGCUCCACCUGACCCUGCCUGCUGAGUGCUCCACCUGCCCCUGCCUGAUGAGUGCUCCACCUGACCCUGCCUGCUGAGUGCUCCACCUGACCCUGCCUGAUGAGUGCUCCACCUGCCCCUGCCUGCUGAGUGCUCCACCUGACCCUGCCUGCUGACCCUUCCAAUGGCCCCAUCUGUUGGGAGAAGUGAGAAGAGCAAGAGAGAAUGAGAUACUCUGUCUAUUAGGAAGAAAGCACUGUUUCUAUUUCUA